rnacentral:rRNA from 1 species
UACGGAGGAUGCAAGCGUUAUCCGGAUUUAUUGGGUUUAAAGGGUGCGUAGGCGGAAAAUUAAGUCAGUAAUGAAAUCCUGCAGCUUAACUGUAGAAUUGUUAUUGAUACUGGUUUUCUUGAAUACAGUUGAGGCAGGCGGAAUGUGUAAUGUAGCGGUGAAAUGCUUAGAUAUUACACAGAACACCGAUUGCGAAGGCAGCUUGCUAAACUGUGAUUGACGCUGAGGCACGAAAGCGUGGGGAUCAAACAGG